rfam:Pan troglodytes isolate Yerkes chimp pedigree #C0471 (Clint) chromosome 20, whole genome shotgun sequence.
GCUGGGCAUGGUGGUGCGCACCUGUAAUCCUAGCUACUCUGGAGGUUGAGGCAGGAGAAUCGCUUGAGCCCGGGAAGUGGAAAUUGCAGUGAGCCGAGAUUGCGCCACUGCACUCCAGCCUGGAUGGCAGAGUGAGACUCUGUCUCGAAAAAAAAAAAAGGGUGUGUGUAUUUCCUUUUUCUUUUUUUUCGAGACUGAGUUUCACUCUUGGGUUGCCCAGGCUGGAGUGCAGUGGCGCAGUCUGGGCUCACUGCAACCUCCGCCUCCCGGGUUCAAGCAAUUCUCCUGCCUCAG